rnacentral:rRNA from 1 species
GACGAACCGUGCAAACGUUAUUCGGAAUCACUGGGCAUAAAGGGCGCGUAGGCGGCUCCAAAAGUCAGGGGUGAAAUCCGGCAGCUUAACUGUCGCAGUGCCUUUGAUACUGUGGAGCUAGAGGGAGGUAGGGGUCUGUGGAACUUCCGGUGGAGCGGUGAAAUGCGUAGAUAUCGGAAGGAACACCGGUGGCGAAAGCGGCGCGCUGGAUCUCUUCUGACGCUGAGGCGCGAAAGCUAGGGUAGCGAACGGG